CAUUGAAACUCUAGUUCUCAUAUGAUCACCAAAAUUAAGCAACACUGAGCCUGGUCAGUACUUAGAUGGGGGACUGCUUGGGAAUACCAGGUGCUGUAAG